rfam:Pteropus alecto contig8318, whole genome shotgun sequence.
GUCUACAGCCAUGCCACCCUGAACAAGCCUGAUCCCGUCUGAUCUCGGAAGCUAAGUGGAGUCGGGCCUGGUUAGUACUUGGAUGGGAGACCACCUAGGAAGACCAUAUGCUGUAGGUG